GUGAAUCAUCGAAUUUUUGAACGCAAAUUGCACUCUCUUCGGAGAGUAUGCCUGUUUGAGGGUCAGUAUUAAUAAAAACCGGUGUGUAGCUUCUUUGUGACGCUCCGGAGUUUGGGUCAUCUUAACAUCCUUUAGGUUUUAUGUUACUUAAAUUUGACUUUUUUUGUUCAUUUUAGAUGUACAUAUAUUCUUUUUUUUAUUCGUCUGUCUUAAUGCUCAAUUUCAUAUUAGAUGCGACCAUAUU
rnacentral:misc_RNA from 1 species